rnacentral:rRNA from 1 species
UACGAAGGGUGCAAACGUUGCUCGGAAUUAUUGGGCGUAAAGCGCACGUAGGCGGCUUAGCAAGUCCCAUGUGAAAUCCCACGGCUUAACCGUGGAAGUGCAUGGGAAACUGCUGAGCUUGAGUACUAAAGAGGAUCGCGGAAUUCCCGGUGUAGAGGUGAAAUUCGUAGAUAUCGGGAGGAACACCGGUGGCGAAGGCGGCGAUCUGGGUAGAUACUGACGCUGAGGUGCGAAAGCCAGGGGAGCAAACGGG